ACCUACGGGGGGCAGCAGUAGGGAAUAUUGCUCAAUGGGCGAAAGCCUGAAGCAGCAACGCCGCGUGCACGAUGAAGGCCUUCGGGUCGUAAAGUGCUUUUCUGCGAGAUGAGAAAGGACAGUAUCGUAGGAAUAAGUCUCGGCUAACUACGUGCCAGCAGCCGCGGUAAAACGUAGGAGGCGAGCGUUAUCCGGAUUCACUGGGCGUAAAGCGCGUGCAGGUGGUUCGGUAAGUUGGGCGUGAAAUCUCCCGGCUCAACUGGGAGAGGUCGUUCAAUACUACCGAACUUGAGAGCAGAAGAGGAAGAUGGAAUUCCCGGUGUAGUGGUGAAAUGCGUAGAUAUCGGGAGGAACACCAGUGGCGAAGGCGAUCUUCUGGUCUGUUUCUGACACUCAGACGCGACAGCUAGGGUAGUAAACGGGAUUAGAUACCCCGGUAGG
rnacentral:rRNA from 1 species